UUGCAACUCUUACAUUUUUCACUUUAAAUUUUAAUCAGAAAAUAUCGAAGAAUCAAUAGCUAAACUUUGAAAGGUUCCGAAAGCAAACCUGAUUAUAAGUUAGUGAAUUAAUGAUUUAAUAUGUUACUGAAUAAUCAAUAAUUGCUAUCAGAUGUUCUGAAUCGCUCUUACUAAAUAUGUUUUGGGAAUUUUGUGAUUACAUGAUGAAGUUUCAGGCAGGCAUGCUGAACUGAAGAAGACAUCAGCAGUGUCACAGACAGUGGAUUGAGUGCAGCCUCAGCAGGUUUUGCAGAUGACACCAAGCUGAGUUGUGUGGGUGACACUCCUGAAGGAUGGGAUGCCAUCCAGAGGGACCUGGACAAGCCCAAGCAGUGGCCCAUGGGAAUCUCAUGAGGUUUAACAGAUCAAGUCCAAGCUGCUGCAGCUGGGACAGGACAACCCUUGGUACCAAUCCAGGCUGGACAUGAGCAGCCCCAGAGCAGCCCUGGGAGAAGGACUUGGGGGUGCUGGUGAUGAGAGGCUGGACAUGGCCCGGCCGUGUGCGCUGGGAGCCCAGGAACCCCCCGUGUGCUGGGCUGCAUCCAGAGCCCCGUGGGCAGCAGGGCAGGGAGGGGAUUCUGCCCCUCUGCCCCUCUCUGCUCAGACCCCACCUGCAGGGCUGCAUCCAGCCCUGGGCUCCCAGCACAGGAAGGACAGGGAGCUGCUGGAGCCGGCCCAGAGGAGACACCAAGGUGAUCAGAGGGAUGGAACAGCUCUGCUGUGAGGAAAGGCUGAGAGAAUUGGGGCUGUUCAGCCUGGAAGAAAGAAGGCUUUGGGGUGACUGAAUUGCAGCCUUCCAGCACCUGAAGAGAGCCCACAGGAAAGAUGGAGAGAGACUAUUUACAGGGCCCUGGGGUGACAGGACAAGGGGGAAUGGGUUCAAACUGACAGAGAGUAGGUUUAGGUCAGAUAUUAGGCAGAAAUUCCUUACUGUGAGGUUCGUGAGGCAUUGGCACAGGAAAAGCUGUGGCUGCCCUGUCCCUGUGAGUGUUCAAGGCCAGUUUGGAUGGGGCUCUGAGCAACCUGGUCUAGUGGAAAGUGCCCCUGCCCAUGGCAGGUCCCUUGGAACUCAAACCCUUCUAAGGUUCUAUGAUUCCCUGAUUUUCAGAAGCCCCUAUUCUGAUGUCACAAGGAUCUGUGCUCCAACAGUGGAUUUGCCACCUCAGUUGAGCCAUGGCUGCCUCCAAGCUGACCCAUGUCCUAGGUUAUCUGUCCAGCUCUGGGUGGGAGCUCAUGGCUUUUCACCUUCUGUGCACAAAGGCGGUGUCUGGCAGCUUGGAGUGAGGAGCAGGAUUGCUUUGGCCCAGCGAGGGCAGCACUGGAAACCUGUGUGUGCAUCCAAUAAUGCAAUGGCUGGAAGACAAGGAAGUGGCAGAGUAGCUGGGUGGAUGCAGUGGAUAUUGGCAAUAAUUCUGAUGCUGUGGGGUCACCAGAUCAGUGGACAAGGACAAGGAAUACUUCUCAAGGAGGAGGGGAAAAACGGCCAAACCCACCAAAAUCUGGAGUUAGGAAAGUUAAGGUGCUUGCUGUAGAAACUUGUUAUAUAAAUUGAGGUUCAGAUUUUUUCAGGGGGGCUAAUUUUGUGAUAAAAGAAGUCUCUG
rnacentral:lncRNA from 1 species